AGCGAACGCUGGCGGCAGGCCUAACACAUGCAAGUCGAACGAAGCCUUCGGGCUUAGUGGCGGACGGGUGAGUAACACGUGGGAACGUACCUUUUGGUUCGGAAUAACGCAGAGAAAUUUGCGCUAAUACCGAAUGAGCCCUUAGGGGGAAAGAUUUAUCGCCGAAAGAUCGGCCCGCGUUGGAUUAGGUAGUUGGUGUGGUAAAGGCGCACCAAGCCUACGAUCCAUAGCUGGUCUGAGAGGAUGAUCAGCCACACUGGGACUGAGACACGGCCCAGACUCCUACGGGAGGCAGCAGUGGGGAAUCUUGCGCAAUGGGCGAAAGCCUGACGCAGCCAUGCCGCGUGAAUGAUGAAGGUCUUAGGAUUGUAAAAUUCUUUUACCAGGGACGAUAAUGACGGUACCUGGAGAAAAAGCCCCGGCUAACUUCGUGCCAGCAGCCGCGGUAA
rnacentral:rRNA from 1 species